CGAACGGGUGAGUAACGCGUAGGUAACCUACCUCAUAGCGGGGGAUAACUAUUGGAAACGAUAGCUAAUACCGCAUAAGAGAGACUAACGCAUGUUAGUAAUUUAAAAGGGGCAAUUGCUCCACUAUGAGAUGGACCUGCGUUGUAUUAGCUAGUUGGUGAGGUAAAGGCUCACCAAGGCGACGAUACAUAGCCGACCUGAGAGGGUGAUCGGCCACACUGGGACUGAGACACGGCCCAGACUCCUACGGGAGGCAGCAGUAGGGAAUCUUCGGCAAUGGGGGCAACCUGACCGAGCAACGCCGCGUGAGUUAAGAAGGUUUUCGGAUCGUAAAGCUCUGUUGUUAGAGAAGAUGAUGGUGGGAGUGGAAAUUCACCAAGUGACGGUAACUAACCAGAAAGGGACGGCUAACUACGUGCCAGCAGCCGCGGUAAUACGUAGCUCCCGAGCGUUGUCCGGAUUUAUUGGGCGUAAAGCGAGCGCAGGCGGUUUUUUAAGUCUGAAGUUAAAGGCAUUGGCUCAACCAAUGUACGCUUUGGAAACUGGAGAACUUGAGUGCAGAAGGGGAGAGUGGAAUUCCAUGUGUAGCGGUGAAAUGCGUAGAUAUAUGGAGGAACACCGGUGGCGAAAGCGGCUCUCUGGUCUGUAACUGACGCUGAGGCUCGAAAGCGUGGGGAGCAAACAGGAUUAGAUACCCUGGUAGUCCACGCCGUAAACGAUGAGUGCUAGGUGUUAGGCCCUUUCCGGG
rnacentral:rRNA from 1 species